rnacentral:rRNA from 1 species
AGCGAACGCUGGCGGCAGGCCUAACACAUGCAAGUCGAACGAACUCUUCGGAGUUAGUGGCGGACGGGUGAGUAACGCGUGGGAACGUGCCUUUUGGUUCGGGAUUACACAGGUACACUUGUGCUAAUACCGAGUGUGCCCUUCGGGGGAAAGAUUGAUCGCCAUUAUGGCGGCCCGCGACUGAUUAGCUUGUUGGUGAGGUAACGGCUCACCAAGGCGACGAUCAGUAGCUGGUCUGAGAGGAUGACCAGCCACACUGGGACUGAGACACGGCCCAGACUCCUACGGGAGGCAGCAGUGGGAAUCUUGCGCAAUGGGCGAAAGCCUGACGCAGCCAUGCCGCGUGAAUGAUGAAGGUCUUAGGAUUGUAAAACUCUUUCACCGGGGACGAUAAUGACGGUACCCGGAGAAGAAGCCCCGGCUAACUUCGUG